rnacentral:rRNA from 1 species
AGUGAAAGGUGGCCUCUGCCCUGCAUGCUACCGCCCAAGGAGGGGCUCGCGGCCCAUCAUGUAGUUGGUGGGGUAAUGGCCUACCACGUCUAUGACCGGUAGCCGGCCUGAGAGGGUGGCCGGCCACAGUGGGACUGAUACACGGCCCACACCCCUACGGGGGGCAGCAGUGGGGAAUCGUGGGCAAUGGGCGAAAGCCUGACCCCGUGACGCCGUGUGGAGGAAGAAGCCCUUCGGGGUGUAAACUCCUGUCCGGGGGGAAGAUGCCCACAGGGAUGAAUAAUCCCUGUCUGU